UUCAUUGAUAAUUUUUGUGUGAUGUUGUUGUCAGCACAUUCAACUAUGUAAAGAAAGUAUUUAAGUAGUAGUUGAGUAUUGAGAUUAUUUCAUUCAUUCAGAUCUAGGAUGUGUUAUUUUAGUGUUCCCUUUAUUUUUUUGAGCAUUGUAUUUUGCCGUUAAAGUCUUAAUUAACAACCAACUUAAAAUAUAUCACAGUGUUUUAUGGUUUAACAGAUUUUGUCUAGUUAGCUUGUCACUGAUUUUAUCUGUCUGCUGUUUGGUGCUGGGCAGGUAAUGUGUGCAGUGGGUUCAUCAGAUUUUUUUUUUUUUUUUUACUGAAAACAGCUGGCUUCUGCUGCUGUUCCUGAUAGUAAAUCACGAGAUAUGCAACAGUUUAAUGUGUGUGGAUAGUAUUAUAUGGGAUACUGGGCUUACUUGUCAUUGUGCUGCUGCAGCCUUCACAUUACUAUGAGCUGAUUGUGAUAACUGAAAGGACCUGGGCCCAGUGUCUUGUAACCUGUUGUCUCAUUUUGCAGGAGGCUGAUGUGGAGGCCAGGUCAGACCUCCCUGCAGGCCGGCUCCCUGGUUUCCCCUUUUGUUUGGUUUUCUUUGGUUGGACUAUUGCUUUGUGUUGGUUUGUCAGUACAUGUUUGACCGCAAGGGUCGCUUUCUGGAUGUCCAUGUGGGCUUCCUUGACUGUGCACGAUGCCAGGUUCCCAGGUACAACCUCUUCCAUGUGCACCAGCCUCCAGGAUAGAAGGCUUGUGGGAAAUGCACACCAUUCCUGUGUGAAGCAUGCCAAGUGCCCCUCUGUGUUAUUCUGGACAGAGACUGUCACAAGUAUUUUCACAGCUAGGGUGGCCUGUGUAUAUGUAGUGGUGCCUUUCUGUUUAGUUCUGAUGAUGUACAUUUUUUUUUAUUUACACAAGACAUGGUCUUUGUUUUUUUUCACCAUUUAAUUGUUUAGUCAACAUUGCUCUCAAAAGCAAUAUGUUAUCUUUUUGAUUAUACAAAUUUAAAGGCACUCUAUUCAUGUGUAAGGCACCCUCACCUGUCAAGUUUUAUCACAGUCUUUUGCAUGUUCAGUUCCUAUAAUGUACAGUUUUAACCCCUUAAUUGUAGAGUAUAGUGUAUAAUUGAAUAUAUAGAGUAUUGUAAUUGAAUAUUUGAUAAGGUCUUCUGUUUUUUACCACUUAAUUGUGUAAUCAACAUUGCUCUCAAAAGAAAUGUAUCUGUUUCACUACACAGCUAAAAAGGCGUUAAUUGCACUGUUUAUAAAAAUGAAUGUAUCUUACAAACUAAUUUAUGUACAUAGUUCAGUGUUUUAUGGAGGUUUUUUACACUGACAAGUUUGAGGUUGGCAUUUGUUAUAUUUAUGUA